CAUCAUUAGUACUAGUAUCUAAAAGACAAAAAUGUAAAAAAAAAAAAUACCACUUUUGUUUUGGUGGAUUGACUCGACCAACCCGCCCAUAAAAAAUACAAUUUCGGUUUGGGCAGGUUAACCCAACCAACCUGCCCAAAUUAUUGGACAGUUAAAAUUUUUUCUUAAUUAGGCAAGUUACGGAUCACUUUUGCUAACCCGAUUAUGACAUCCUAACACGACCAAUGCUCAGCCCUGUACGUUCUUCUCCCAUUCUCAGUGGCGGCGCUCUCUCUCCACCCUCCCACGCACGUCACAGCUCUCCUCCACCCACGGUCAGACGGUCCCACUCCCUCCCAUCGACUCUCCGGUCUUCACCCCACUGCGACGGCUCACUCGGCGGUUCCAUAAUCCCACGGCGUCGCUAUCCACCCCAUCGGCCACACACAUUACAGGCAGAAACCCUCUCUCGUCUUGACCUCUCUUUGAAUACAUACUCUAAUAAGGACUAUUUUGUUCUCUUGUGGGUGUUGAGGCCUAAGCAGGUUAUUUCCUAUUCUCUAUUUGAGACAUAUCACUAAGUUAAGAAGCUGUACAAAAGAGAAGGUGUUGGUAGCAUCAAUUAUAGAAGCUUAUACUGCCUCUUCAAAUUUCAACAUAGUAAUUCUAGAAGGAAGAUGAUUUCAGAUAAGAAGUUCUUCAUGAGAGAGAUUUUUGGUAAAGGCAAGGGCAAGCUUGAUCAGCCCUGAUUCGGAGAGCUCUGAAGGCAGAAUGUACAUGAUCAGCUGUUCAGCCACCACAGUUGAGGAGGAGACAGGAACAGGAGAACCAUAAAUGUCUGUUUUGCCCUUAGAGUGGCUAGUGGUUGUUUGUACUCUGGAAAUUUUGUAAACUAACUUUCAAACACCGUUUCUUUUGGGAUCCCUUGUACAAAAUUUUUAAUUAUAUGAAAUGUGUCUUUU